rnacentral:rRNA from 1 species
GGAGCAGUGAAAAGACUUUGAAAAGAGAGUUAAACAGUAUGUGAAAUUGUUAAAAGGGAACCGUUUGGAGCCAGACUGGCUUGAUCGUAAUCACUCUAGGCUUUGGCCUGGAUGCACUUGCGGUCUAUGCCGGCCAACGACAGUUUUGUUUGAGGGAAAAAAUUACAUUGAAUGUGGCCCUUCGGGGUGUUAUAGCUUUGUAAAAAAUACCUUGGACGGGACUGAGGAACGCAGCGAAUGCCUUUAGGCGAGAUUGCUGGGUGCUUGCGCUGAUACAUGCUAGAAUUUCUGCUUUGGGUGGUGCUAGUGUGUAAAGGAGUAACCCGCUUAGUAUAUUUUUUAUUCGCUUAGGUUGUUGGCUUAAUGACUCUAAAUGACCCGUCUUGAA